AGAGUUUGAUCCUGGCUCAGGAUGAACGCUGGCGGCGUGCUUAACACAUGCAAGUCGAACGGAGUUAUGAGAAGAGAGUGAGGUGCUUGCACCAAGUGAUCAUUUUGUAACUUAGUGGCGGACGGGUGAGUAACGCGUGGGUAACCUGCCAUAUACAGGGGGAUAACACUUAGAAAUAGGUGCUAAAACCGCAUAAGCGCACAGCUUCGCAUGAAGCAGUGUGAAAAACUCCGGUGGUAUAUGAUGGACCCGCGUCUGAUUAGCCAGUUGGCAGGGUAACGGCCUACCAAAGCGACGAUCAGUAGCCGGCCUGAGAGGGUGAACGGCCACAUUGGGACUGAGACACGGCCCAAACUCCUACGGGAGGCAGCAGUGGGGAAUAUUGCACAAUGGGGGAAACCCUGAUGCAGCGACGCCGCGUGAGUGAAGAAGUAUUUCGGUAUGUAAAGCUCUAUCAACAGGGAAGAAAAUGACGGUACCUGAGUAAGCAGCCCCGGCUAACUACGUGCCAGCAGCCGCGGUAAUACGUAGGGGGCAAGCGUUAUCCGGAAUUACUGGGUGUAAAGGGUGCGUAGGCGGCAAUGCAAGUCAGUCGUGAAAGGUAUGGGCUUAACCCGUAAACUGCGAUUGAAACUGCAUAGCUGGAGUGCAGGAGAGGAAAGCGGAAUUCCUAGUGUAGCGGUGAAAUGCGUAGAUAUUAGGAAGAACACCAGUGGCGAAGGCGGCUUUCUGGACUGCAACUGACGCUGAGGCACGAAAGCGUGGGGAGCAAACAGGAUUAGAUACCCUGGUAGUCCACACGGUAAACGA
rnacentral:rRNA from 1 species